UACGUAGGGGGCAAGCGUUGUCCGGAUUCAUUGGGCGUAAAGAGCGUGUAGGCGGUCAGGUAGGUCGGUUGUGAAAACUGGAGGCUCAACCUUCAGAGGUCGACCGAAACCAUCUGGCUAGAGUCCGGGAGAGGAGAGUGGAAUUCCUGGUGUAGCGGUGAAAUGCGCAGAUAUCAGGAAGAACACCCGUGGCGAAAGCGGCUCUCUGGAACGGUACUGACGCUGAGACGCGAAAGCGUGGGGAGCAAACAGG
rnacentral:rRNA from 1 species